rnacentral:rRNA from 1 species
AGAGUUUGAUCCUGGCUCAGAAUGAACGCUGGCGGCGUGCUUUACACAUGCAAGUCGAACGGAAUCCAAGGAGCUUGCUCCUGAAGAUUUAGUGGCGAACGGGUGAGUAUCACGUGAGCAACCUGCCCCAAAGACUGGGAUAACACCGGGAAACCGGUGCUAAUACUGGAUACCUUUAUUUGAUCGCAUGAUCAGAUAAAGAAAUGUUUUUUCGCUUUGGGAGGGGCUCGCGGUCCAUCAGCUUGUUGGAGGGGUAACGGCCCACCAAGGCUACGACGGAUAGCUGGUCUGAGAGGACGAUCAGCCACACUGGGACUGAGACACGGCCCAGACUCCUACGGGAGGCAGCAGUGGGGAAUCUUGCGCAAUGGACGAAAGUCUGACGCAGCAACGCCGCGUGAGGGACGAAGGCUUUCUGAGUUGUAAACCUCUUUCGACAGGAACGAUAAUGACGGUACCUGUAGAAGAAGCACCGGCCAACUAUGUGCCAGCAGCCGCGGUGAUCAUAGGGUGCAAGCGUUAUUCGGAUUUAUUGGGCGUAAAGAGCUCGUAGGCGGUUCGAUUAGUCGGGUGUUAAACCCCCCAGGCUCAACCUGGGGCAGCCAUCCGAAACUGUCGUGACUAGAGUUUGGUAGGGGAUCACGGAAUUCC